AGAGUUUGAUCCUGGCUCAGAUUGAACGCUGGCGACGUGCUUAACACAUGCAAGUCGUGCGAGAAAGGAGACUUCGGUCUCUGAGUAGAGCGGCGCACGGGUGAGUAACGCGUGGAUGAUCUACCCUUGAGUUCGGGAUAACGGUGCGAAAGCGCCGCUAAUACCGUAUAACAAUCCAUUUCAUCGUGGGUUCAAAGCAGGCCUCUUCAUGAAAGCUUGCGCUUGGGGAUGAGUCCGCGUCCCAUUAGCUUGUUGGCGGGGUAACGGCCCACCAAGGCUACGAUGGGUAGCUGGUCUGAGAGGAUGAUCAGCCACACUGGAACUGAAACACGGUCCAGACUCCUACGGGAGGCAGCAGUGGGGAAUAUUGCGCAAUGGGGGAAACCCUGACGCAGCGACGUCGUGUGAGGGAAGAAGGCCUUCGGGUCGUAAACCUCUGUCAGAAGGGAAGAACAUCCGGGAGUCGAACA
rnacentral:rRNA from 1 species